rnacentral:rRNA from 1 species
UACGAGAGUCCCAAGCAUUGCCCGGAAUCACUGGGUGUAAAGAGUAUGUAGGUGGUUUGAUAAGUAGAGCAUGAAAGACCGAAGCUUAACUUCGCGUUUGUUCUCUAAACUAUCAUUCUCGAAUCAGGAAAAGGUAAGCGGAAUUCUAAGUGUAGGGGUGCAAUCCGUAGAUACUUAGAAGAACACCAAAAGCGAAGGCAGCUUACUAGGACUGUAUUGACACUGAGAUACGAAAGCGUGGGGAGCGAAAAGG